CGACGAUGGAUAGGGGUUCUGAGAGGAAGGUCCCCCACAUUGGAACUGAGACACGGUCCAAACUCCUACGGGAGGCAGCAGUGAGGAAUAUUGGUCAAUGGUCGGCAGACUGAACCAGCCAAGUCGCGUGAGGGAAGACGGCCCUACGGGUUGUAAACCUCUUUUGUCGGAGAGUAAAGUACGCUACGUGUAGCGUAUUGCAAGUAUCCGAAGAAAAAGCAUCGGCUAACUCCGUGCCAGCAGCCGCGGUAAUACGGAGGAUGCGAGCGUUAUCCGGAUUUAUUGGGUUUAAAGGGUGCGUAGGCGGCACGCCAAGUCAGCGGUGAAAUUUUCGGGCUCAACCCGGACUGUGCCGUUGAAACUGGCGAGCUAGAGUGCACAAGAGGCAGGCGGAAUGCGUGGUGUAGCGGUGAAAUGCAUAGAUAUCACGCAGAACCCCGAUUGCGAAGGCAGCCUGCUAGGGUGCGACAGACGCUGAGGCACGAAAGCGUGGGUAUCGAACAGGAUUAGAUACCCUGGUAGUCCACGCAGUAAACGAUGAAU
rnacentral:rRNA from 1 species